AUGAACGCUAGCGGCAGGCCUAACACAUGCAAGUCGAACGGUAACAGAUCUAGCUUGCUAGAUGCUGACGAGUGGCGCACGGGUGAGUAACGCGUAUACAAUCUACCUUUAACUGAGGAAUAGCCCAGAGAAAUUUGGAUUAAUACCUCAUAGUAUUAUAUUAAGGCAUCUUUUUAUAAUUAAAACUUCGGUGGUUAAAGAUGAGUAUGCGUCCUAUUAGUUUGUUGGUAAGGUAAAAGCUUACCAAGACUACGAUAGGUAGGGGGCCUGAAAGGGUGAUCCCCCACACUGGUACUGAGACACGGACCAGACUCCUACGGGAGGCAGCAGUGAGGAAUAUUGCACAAUGGAGGAAACUCUGAUGCAGCCAUGCCGCGUGCAGGAUGAAUGCCCUAUGGGUUGUAAACUGCUUUUAUACAAGAAGAAACCUCGGUACGUGUACCGACUUGACGGUAUUGUAUGAAUAAGCACCGGCUAACUCCGUGCCAGCAGCCGCGGUAAUACGGAGGGUGCAAGCGUUAUCCGGAUUUAUUAGGUUUAAAGGGUCCGCAGGCGGAAUAUUAAGUCAGUGGUGAAAGCCUACAGCUCAACUGUAGAACUGCCAUUGAAACUGUUAUUCUUGAGUAUGGAUGAAGUGGGCGGAAUAUGUCAUGUAGCGGUGAAAUGCAUAGAUAUGACAUGGAACACCAAUUGCGAAGGCAGCUCACUAAACCAUUACUGACGCUCAUGGGACGAAAGCGUGGGGAGCGAACAGGAUUAGAUACCCUGGUAGUCCACGCCGUAAACUAUGAUCACUAGAUGUUGGCGAUAUAAUGUCAGCGUUUAAGAGAAAUCGAUAAGUGAUCCACCUGGGGAGUACGUUCGCAAGAAUGAAACUCAAAGGAAUUGACGGGGGCCCGCACAAGCGGAGGAGCAUGUGGUUUAAUUCGAUGAUACGCGAGGAACCUUACCAAGGCUUAAAUGUAAUAUGACCGGUUGAGAGAUCAACCUUUUUUCGAACAGAUUACAAGGUGCUGCAUGGUUGUCGUCAGCUCGUGCCGUGAGGUGUCGGGUUAAGUCCCAUAACGAGCGCAACCCCUAUUUUUAGUUACCAGCGAGUAAUGUCGGGAACUCUAGAAAAACUGCCUGUGCAAACAGAGAGGAAGGUGGGGAUGACGUCAAAUCAUCACGGCCCUUAUGUCUUGGGCUACACACGUGCUACAAUGGUUACUACAAUGUGAUGCCAUCUGGUGACAGAGAGCUAAUCAAUAAAGGUAAUCUCAGUUCGGAUCGGAGUCUGCAACUCGACUCUGUGAAGUUGGAAUCGCUAGUAAUCGUAUAUCAGCAAUGAUACGGUGAAUACGUUCCCGGGCCUUGUACACACCGCCCGUCA
rnacentral:rRNA from 1 species